rnacentral:sRNA from 1 species
CACACUGCUAUGAGUUGGAAUCGUCACAUAGAACCCGUGAGAUCCGUUUGGGGCCUGGAGGCCGAAUUGAUUUUUCGAAUUGUUGAGACCACCACACAGCCUUGAUUGCCAGGCACCGAUUUUAAGAGGUAAUCGGGCUGAAAACUGGCCACAGGAUGUAGAAUCUCAAUCUCGCGAGGAGAUGCAUUUGAAACUGCUCUUCGCCAUCAAUACACUGAUAGGAUACGGGGAAAUUGAACGUUGCAGGGCCUCCCGUGUGGGGAAGCCAGAGGGUUAGCCAUUACGCCGAAAGAAUCAACUUUUAUGGAAAGAUCACCCAUCUUGGGAUAUGUACGGGCUGGACUGUAUAUCAUGCAUGAUUUUUCAUGUCCUUUCAAUGGUGAAUCGAAAACCAUAUGACCUGAGAAUACG